CUAUUUUUCUCCUUCCAUGUGCCCUAUCUUCUUCCUCUUUACCAAACAAAUUGCAAAGGUGAAAACUUGGUAGCACUCCAAACUUGGUACGAAAUUUCCAAGGAUGAUCGGUUAUCUGCAUUCAAGGGAUCGUUCCGCAGUCAAAAGCAUCUCCAACUCCGUGGAAAAACUAAGGAUCGUAACGAACGUGGUUCCAGAAGCAAACAAAGAUGGACUAAAUGGAUUAACUUGCCCUGGAGUUGAGAGGUGCUACUAUCUUGAAUGCUUGGUUGAUACGACAACAGGGAGAAGGCCAACUUCUGUAUUCACUCAUUUGGAGAUUUUAAGGAUAACAUAUAUCUAUGGUUUGGAAACCUUAUGCAAGGGUCAGCCUCCACAAGGUUUCUUGAAAAACUUGAAGGAAUUGGCUAUUAGACGAUGUGAAAAGUUGCAAGGGGCGUUUCAAAUGGAUGAUCUCCCGUACAACGGAGAACAAAAUCAAGACAAACCACUUUCAAAGGCUCGGUCCAUUCUUUCGGUCUCCAAAGCCUUGAGGUCGUAAACAUAGAAAGGUGCAGCAAAUUGGAAUCCCUCUUCUCACCUUCCCUUAUUCAAAGCCUGGUGAUGUUAGAAGAACUAUGGAUAAGUGGCUGUGACGGAUUGAAAACGCUCUUCGCAAAGCUAGAAAAUAAUGACGGUGAAACAGAAUCAAGCAGUUCUCUCCCUACUCUAUUCUUGCGUAAAUUGAAAACUCUCCACAUCAGUGGUUGUCCAAAACUACAGUAUGCCCCAUCACUUUGGCUAAAGGUAUUCCUGCUCUUGCAAAGAUUUCAGUUUAUGAUUGUGAUGAAUUAAAGCAAGUCUUCGGCACCGUA